UAUAGAAAAUAAAAGAAAAAAAAGACGGAAAACGAAAUAUGGAAAGCGCGAAAAAAAACCCAUUUUUUUUUUUAGGUUUUGCGUGUUACCCUUCCCUGCCCCAAUGCCUCCUUUUCAUUUUUUUUCAGACUUCCACCGAUUUUCCGAUUCUCACAGACCCCUCCUUCAAUUUUCCUAUUCUCCCAGACACCUUCCACGACGCCACUACCAUCCAACAUCGCCGCUGACUCGCCCCACUCCUUGCCGAAUGGCUCCCUGCUCGUAGAACUAGUCACCAGUUACUCACAUUGGAUGGAAAAUUCCUUCUCAAUUCCUUGACCACAAAAGCCUCUCUUCACCAUUUCAUCGUUUGUUCAUUACUCGUACGCCGCUCGUUAGUCGUCGUCCGUCGAACUGAAAGUUUCAUAUGCAAAUCUCACCAUUCGUCACCAUUCUUCUAUCGAUUUGGACUUCAAGGCAUGAAGAGCGAUCUUGUCAGAUCUCAUUUCGUUGAAUCCCUUUAUGAAAUUUGAAGGAAACUGGAGCAAAUUGGUUUUGCUUUCAAAUAGAUUGGCAAUGAAGGAAAAGACCAAGCUUAUAGCAUCCAUAAUAUUAGUUUUCUGUGCAAACGAAGGUUGUUUGCUGUUACGCAGAGGUCUUAAGAAUUUUUUCUGCCCUUGUGGGGCUUUAUCAAGGAUUGCUACAGUUGCAACUAGUACACAUACAUGUAAAUUAGCUUUGUGUCUUUAGAUUGUCAUAACAAAUUAGAAUUAGAACACAAAAUGUCCUACCCAAAUUUAAUUAUAUUCAUAACUAUACUUUUUGUCUCUGCCUUUUUCUGAAAUAAUCUAUUUGAAUUAACCAUUAGCACCAGCAGAAACAUACAAUGAUUUGAUGACAUAUACAUUGAUAUUGUCUUGCUGUUGCACCAGCAGAAGUCUUACAACAUGUUUUUGGCAUCUAUCUUUAUGUUAGUUCAUGCUUUGAUGUGUGAGAUUUGUGAGGUUUGAGGUGCAAUUUGUGCAGUGGCUUAUUAUUCGUUCUAUGUUAAAUGAUAUGAAGACAAAGAAAAAGAAAUGUCAGUGCUGCCCAAUUGUAGUGGUCGCCGAUUACUCCACCAGAAUCAUAGGCUUUGUUGGAUGAUACUACACCAGAAUCAUAGACUAAUUUUCAAGAUAAACAUUCAUAGGAGUUGUUGGGGGAAAUUUUCUCCUCAGCAAGGAACCUCCUCAUUGUCCAAUUUUGCUUGAUUUUGGGCUUACUAAAAAGUUACCAACCACCAUGAAACAAGCAUUGGCAAAGAUGUUUUUAGUCGUUGCAGAGAGGGAAGCUGAAAUGCAAGAAAUGUAUGCAAGGUAGUCGCAGGGAAGAGGUUAAGACGUUGACACCUAACUAGGGCAUGCGUUGAGAACUAUGCUUCAGAUGAAUUUUAGAUUUGUUGUGAUAUCUGUGAGAAAUGGUUUCAUGGGAAAUUUGUUGUAUGAAGAAAUGCUUCAGUUUAUCAGUUUUCUUGUGAUGUAUUGAGUUUUAUAGAACAAGGUAGUUUUUUGUUUAGGUUUGUUCUCAAAGUACUUUUUUCCUUUAUAAACAAAAUUGUAAUGCAUAGAAGAUAACGUAUAUUAUUCAAUGAGAUAUUAUAUGUAUAGUUCUUUGUUA